rnacentral:lncRNA from 1 species
UUUGUUUAUCAAAAAUAUAAACAAACAAUGAGGCUUUCUUAUUUAAAAUUGAAAUUAUUAUAUAUGCGAAUCUUGUCUUUCAAAUAUUGAAAUAUGCACCUCCUGACACCUUUUGUUAUAAUAGAUCGGUUUCAGAGAAUCUCAUAAUUUUAACAUAUAGAUCUAAGUUUGACACAAUGCUAAGUAUAAUCUUAUUGUUGAGAGAUCUAGCCAAAUCUUGUUUUAAAAAUUAAACCUGUAUCGUAAAUUUUAUUGAAUGUUUUGAGCUUUGAGUUUGGCACUCGCAUCACCGUUCAUAUGUUAGUGGAAUUUCUAUUUUGACAACUCUUUUACACGAACAGAUCAGAGACGUCAUGUAGCACAGUAACAGAAGUGAACAUGUAUCUGUUCACAAAAUGUAUUUCUACGGCAAAAACCUAAAGAUGUAUGUAAACGAAGUUAUGAAAUUGAAUUUGUGUGCGCUUAUCAAGAAAAAAAUAUUAUAUUUUAUAACUAUAGGAAGCCUAUCCAAUAUUCCUAGAAACACAACUUUACAAUACUCAUAAAAUCCACACUAGCUAUUAGGUUUUCGCUCUACCAC